rnacentral:rRNA from 1 species
GACGAACGCUGGCGGCGUGCUUAACACAUGCAAGUCGAACGGAAAGGCCCUGCUUUUGUGGGGUGCUCGAGUGGCGAACGGGUGAGUAACACGUGAGUAACCUGCCCUUGACUUUGGGAUAACUUCAGGAAACUGGGGCUAAUACCGGAUAGGAGCUCCUGCUGCAUGGUGGGGGUUGGAAAGUUUCGGCGGUUGGGGAUGGACUCGCGGCUUAUCAGCUUGUUGGUGGGGUAGUGGCUUACCAAGGCUUUGACGGGUAGCCGGCCUGGGAGGGUGACCGGCGACCUGGGGCCUGAGGGACGGACCAGAAGGCUACGGGAGGCAGCAGUGGGGAAUAUGGCAGAAUGGGCGGAAGCCUGAGGCAGCAACGCCGGGUGCGUGAUGACGGCCUUCGGGUGGAAAACCGCUUUCGCCUGUGACGAAGCGGGAGUGACGGUAAUGGGUAAAGAAGCACCGGCUAACUACGUG